ACGAAGUUUGCCGGGACCACUAGUUUAAAAUAAAUAUAUUCCAAGAGGCGGAAGGGGAAUUCACCCCUACGGCUCGGCUUGGAUACGACGCUGACGAACUACGCGCACUUAUUUAUCGUCGUAUCGUUUUGUGUUUCCCAUUCGUUACAAAAGGAUCAAGUCGCAGUCGGUGAAGUCGUUAGACAAAAUUUCAUCAAAGUAGAUUUCGUUCACUCGCAGAAUGUUUUCAAAAAUUAAUAAUUAAAAAAUGAACGUAAAAAUCUAUCUCUCGUCCAAGUUGGUGGAACAGUGCACAUUCUGUCAGCUGUUCGGCUUGAUCGAGGUGCAGCGGGACGAGAUCCGGUUCGUAGUUCUGGACAGCAAACUGCUCCCGGGAACGUAUCUGAUAGGUGAGAUUAGCAGCGAAUCUGAUUAUCAACGGCGCCAGCAGCAGGACACGGACCUCUCGUCCGGUACGCAUCGCGACCUACAGGAGGAAAACUUCCUGCGUCUGUCCAUAUCGGACCGCGGUCGAAUUAAACACGUUACCACCAAGGUGAAAGGAGUGACCAUCGAGACUCUGAACAAGGUCCUGAUCAUUUACGACGAACAGGGGUUCUCCAAUUUGGCUGAGAACCGGCCGCUUCUGCAGUUGGACGAGAACGACAAUGAUUUGUUGCAGCUGGCGCGGUUGAUAAAAUCAUCCAAGCCAUUGGGAAAUUCGGCCCUGAAGGAUCUGCUGGGGUAUGCUGCGGACUGUCGGAUGGUUACGGUGAUGGGCCUUGUGAUGCGCCCAUUUAUGGCCGUUUUGAGGAUUUUCCUCAAGAAAACUGCUCUAUUCUAUCACUUUUCUGAGUGGUACACCAGUAUUAGGAACAAAGGAAGUGAAAGUGCAAAAUGGGCUCUCUUGUUCGAUAUAGGCCUAGGAGUGGCUGUGUUGUCGUUAGUCUUGUACUUUGGAAAUCCAGGAGUUUACUUCAUGCGGUAUGCUGAGUUGGUGGUCCACUACCUGCGCGAACUGCUGCAAACCCUCCGCGGGAGCCCCAUCGGUCUGAAGCUGAACGCCCCACUCAACGACUUCUUCCUGGGCUGUUUCCUGUACCACGUCGAUCUCUGGUGGACGUUCCUGAUCAUCGUCUCGCCGGCCAUUCGGUUCCUAUUCAUUCCACUGUCAGUACUGGGUUUGCUAGGGGCUUUCCUUCCAGCUGGCCAUGCUGUCCGAUUUGAUCAUUUUGAUCAGCCUGCCACGCGCACUGCUUCUACAUCUAUCAGCGGUGUAAGUUCAUGAGUUAUCAGAUGUCUUACCAUUGACAAUCUUCAACUUCUUCCAUAUGCAGCCUCUAUCGCAUUGAAAUCGGUGGCAUACGAGCCCUCUGCCGGAUCGUCCUGGGCAAAAAGAAGAACGUGCUACGCGAUCGCGUCGAAUCGCACGAGUACAUGAACAGGCAACUGUUCCUGGCCACAUUGACCUUUGCGGUGUUGCUGUUCCUGUUGCCAACCAUUCUCGUGUACUAUGUAGUCUUUGCUACGCUGCGCUUUGCAAUCUACUGCGUGUCGGUCACGUUGAUGACGAUUCGGCGCAUGAUUCUGCAGUUUUCCGGUUUGACGGCAUGAUCCGAUUGGAUGCGCGGAGUCUAACACCCAGCCUGGAAAGUAUGGAGAUCUACAAUAUUGGCGCGCAAGCCAAGGAGAACAUCACCAUCAUCUACAUUGCGCCGCGAUCCAAGGCUUUCGAGGACGGUGCUGCCAGCCAAGGGAGCCCGGUCGUGAUGCGAUCGAUCUCGAUUGGGCAGUUUUUUUGGUAAGUCUCGUCCCGAGGUGAGAUGGUACCGUUCAUUCAACCGGACGAGAGCGUGCAUCGGAAGGUGGAAUAAAUGCUAGUCAACGUUGUAAUGG